GAGUUUGAUCGUGGCUCAGAACGAACGCUGGCGGCGUGCUUAACACAUGCAAGUCGAGCGUGAACCUCUUCAGGGGUAACCCUGGGGAGGGGAAAGCGGCGAACGGGUGAGUAACACGUGGGCAACCUACCCCAGACUCUGGAAUAACCCCGGGAAACCGGGGUUAAUGCCGGAUACUCUCGGAACCUCACCUGAGGAUCCGAGGAAAGCUCCGACGGUCUGGGAUGGGCCCGCGGCCUAUCAGCUUGUUGGUGGGGUAACGGCCUACCAAGGCGACGACGGGUAGCUGGCGUGAGAGCGUGGCCAGCCACACUGGGACUGAGACACGGCCCAGACUCCUACGGGAGGCAGCAGUGGGGAAUCUUGCGCAAUGGGCGAAAGCCUGACGCAGCGACGCCGCGUGGGGGGAAGAAGGCCCUCGGGUUGUAAACCCCCUUUCGGCCAGGGAAGAAGCCGCAAGGUGACGGUACCUGCAGAAGAAGCCCCGGCUAACUACGUGCCAGCCGCCGCUGUAAC
rnacentral:rRNA from 1 species